AACGCUAGCUACAGGCUUAACACAUGCAAGUCGAGGGGCAGCGCGGCGGAAGCUUGCUUCCGCUGGCGGCGACCGGCGCACGGGUGCGUAACGCGUAUCCAACUUGCCCUUGUCCCGGGGAUAGCCUCGCGAAAGCGAGAAUAAUACCCGGUGUAGCCACGGUUUCGCAUGGAAUUGUGGCGAUAGGUCCGCCGGACAAGGAUAGGGAUGCGUCCCAUUAGGCAGUAGGCGGGGUAACGGCCCACCUAACCGACGAUGGGUAGGGGUUCUGAGAGGAAGGUCCCCCACAUUGGAACUGAGACACGGUCCAAACUCCUACGGGAGGCAGCAGUGAGGAAUAUUGGUCAAUGGGCGCGAGCCUGAACCAGCCAAGUAGCGUGCAGGAAGACGGCCCUAUGGGUUGUAAACUGCUUUUGCAGGAGGAUAAUAUGUCCCACGUGUGGGAUAUUGCAGGUAUCCUGCGAAUAAGGACCGGCUAAUUCCGUGCCAGCAGCCGCGGUAAUACGGAAGGUCCGGGCGUUAUCCGGAUUUAUUGGGUUUAAAGGGAGCGUAGGCGGGAGAUCAAGUCAGUUGUGAAAAGCAGCCGCUCAACGGUUGUCGUGCAGUUGAUACUGGUUUUCUUGAGUGCGCGCGAGGAUGGUGGAAUUUGUGGUGUAGCGGUGAAAUGCUUAGAUAUCACAAAGAACUCCGAUUGCGAAGGCAGCUGUCCGGAGCGCAACUGACGCUGAGGCUCGAAGGUGCGGGUAUCAAACAGGAUUAGAUACCCUGGUAGUCCGCACGGUAAACGAUGGAUGCUAGUGGUCGGCGACAGACAGUCGGUCACCGAGCGAAAGCGUUAAGCAUCCCACCUGGGGAGUACGCCGGCAACGGUGAAACUCAAAGGAAUUGACGGGGGCCCGCACAAGCGGAGGAACAUGUGGUUUAAUUCGAUGAUACGCGAGGAACCUUACCCGGGCUUGAAUUGCAGCUGCAUGGAGCAGAGAUGUUCCUUCCCUUCGGGGCUGCUGUGAAGGUGCUGCAUGGUUGUCGUCAGCUCGUGCCGUGAGGUGUCGGCUUAAGUGC
rnacentral:rRNA from 1 species